rnacentral:rRNA from 1 species
UAUCAAUAAGCGGAGGAAAAGAAACCAACAGGGAUUGCCUUAGUAGCGGCGAGCGAANNGCAACAGCUCAAAUUUGAAAUCUGGCUACNNUUUGUAGUUCGAGUUGUAAUUUGUAGAGGAUGCUUUUGGUGAGGUGCCUUCCGAGUUCCCUGGAACGGGACGCCAGAGAGGGUGAGAGCCCCGUACGGUUGGAUACCAAACCUUUGUAUAGCUCCUUCAACGAGUCGAGUAGUUUGGGAAUGCUGCUCUAAAUGGGAGGUAUAUCUCUUCUAAAGCUAAAUACCGGCUAGAGACCGAUAGCGCACAAGUAGAGUGAUCGAAAGAUGAAAAGCACUUUGAAAAGAGAGUUAAACAGCACGUGAAAUUGUUGAAAGGGAAGCGCCUAUGACCAGACUUGUUUCUGUCAGUUUUGCUCGUUCUCGGACUUGUUUACUCUGUCCAGUACAGGCCAACAUCAGUUUGUUGUUUGGGAGAAAGGCUUAGGGAAUGUGGCUCUUUCGGGAGUGUUAUAGCCCUUUGCAUAAUACCAUUCGGCAGACUGAGGACCGCGCUUCGGCAAGGAUGUUGGCGUAAUGGUCAUCAGCGACCCGUCUUGAAACACGGACCAAGGAGUCAACCUUAUGUGCGAGUGUUUGGGUGUAAAACCCCAGCGCGUAAUGAACGUGAACGUAGGUGAGAGCUUCGGCGCAUCAUCGACCGAUUCUGAUGUUCUCGGAUGGAUUUGAGUAAGAGCAUAUAGGGUUGGACCCGAAAGAAGGUGAACUAUGCUUGUAUAGGGUGAAGCCAGAGGAAACUCUGGUGGAGGCUCGCAGCGGUUCUGACGUGCAAAUCGAUCGUCAAAUAUGAGCAUGGGGGCGAAAGACUAAUCGAACCUUCUAGUA